rnacentral:lncRNA from 1 species
GAAAUUUAAACCCAUGAUUUGACCCAAACUCUGCACAUUAUACGGAGAAAUUUUUAGUAUAUAUUUUCUGUGAUAUACUAGAUGCGUAUUGAAUCGCAGAUUAAAAGUAAGAAAAUAUGUAAGGCUUAAAUUCCAUGUCAGAGUACUGACUGUGUGUAAUGAUAAUGAAUGGCCUUACUUUUUUAAUACGUGGUGUAUAUAUGGUAUAAAUAUGAUAAAAUUCUAGGAUAUUAAUUAUAAACCAACCAGUAGUGGGAGUAGGGACUAUGCCGCCAUAUUCAUUAGCCUAUCAGACAUUGUGUUUUUUAAUUUUAGUGUAUUUUGCAAGUGAAGCUGCAAGGUUAGUCUCCUAAUAGCCCACUUUUUCUACUAGAUUGCUGCCCAUAAACUUCUUUAAUACAGAAAUUCUGGAAGUGCCCUCUAUUGGUUAGUGCUGGUGAUGGGUAAAUCAUUACUCAAACUAGGCCAUUAAACCAUUAAUUGAAAUAAAUACUCUUGAAAAGUUCAAUCUAUCCAACCUAUUAACCAUAUCCUUCAAAUUGACUAAGGUUCUCUUACCGUCAAAUCUGUUACUCCUGAUUUUCCUUUCUUGAUGUAUCAAGACAAUCACAAAAUUCUCUUGAUGUUGUUAACAGAAUAUCUCAGCCAUCCCCACUGUAACAAAAGCCCUCAUCUUCUCGUUUAUACUAAGAGCCUCUAGUCUCUUCAUUUCCUCUUUCACACUUGCUGUAAUGAGUUUUUUUAUGCCAUUUCAUUAAUCAAAAUCCUACUGAAUAAAAAAUCUACACUGUCUGUGACAUACGAGGCCCUUCAUGAACUGGUCUGUGUUAGAGUCAUCUGCUACUACUACUCUCUUCCUUACAGUUUCCUUCCCUAAUUUACACCGCAGCUACACUGAACCACAAAUAAUGUUUAGUUAUCUGUGAUGUGCCAUGUUCUUAUGCUUUCAUUUCUUUACUUACCCCAUUUGUCUGCCUGGAAAACCUAGGAUUUAUUCUUUAAGAUCAAAAGCCAUUGAGCCUUUCCUCCCUCCUCCAAAGCAGUAGGUAUUAACUGUCUAAGCAAUUUUACAUUUUGUAUAUUCCUCCAUUCUAGCAAUUACUAAAUACAGAAUUACUUGUCUCUAAAAUAUAAAUUUUAUAAAAGUCUAAGACCAUGACUGAAACUAGGUUUCCAAAUCGCUUUGCCCAUAAACAAAAAGUACUUUAUAAUUGAAAAACUACAUAAAAGAAUAUUUUGAAAAUUAGAACUGUGUCUCAUACAUAAAGUAACUGCUUUUCACCAGAUUAUUUGGUUAACCGGUAUACCCAUGUUGCCCACUGUUUCUUGUAGCAGAAAUUUACUUAAAUUAACUACUUUUUUUAAUUGUAAAACAUUCUCUUAUUUUUAAACAAACAUUAUUAGCUAUAUGCUGCAUAUUGUUAAAUACUGGAGACGAAACAUGAUUAACAUCCAUUCAUUCCCAUUUCUUGGACUUUCCCAAAUUUAUACAUUUCAAAAACACCAAAAUUACCUGGUCUAGUAAUCAUGGACAUGAAGAUGUGUAACGAAUCCCUUUUUAUAUGCUGGGCACAGUGUGAGGCACUUUACAGACAUUGACUCAUUUAAUCCUUAAUCCCUUCACAAAUGCCAGUGUUAAUUUCUUCACUUUACUGUUCAGGAAGCUGAGACUUCAGUUAAUAUGUUUAAGGUUACGGUGAGAUUGACUCCUAGGUCUGUAUGAUUAUAAAGUCCACAAUGUGUAUCAUGUAUUUAUCAUCAGUUUGCCUAGAAUUGUAUUGAAAUACUUUUUCAAAAUAAAAUGAGCACAUCUGGAAUGAG